GCCCUCGUAGCCCAACGGCAGAGGCACGACGUCGAGAACGUCGACAGUGCGCGUUCAAAUCGCGCCGAGGGCA
rnacentral:tRNA from 1 species